AUCAUGGCUCAGAUUGAACGCUGGCGGCAUGCCUUACACAUGCAAGUCGAACGGCAGCACGGGAGCUUGCUCCUGGUGGCGAGUGGCGAACGGGUGAGUAAUACAUCGGAACGUACCCUGAAGUGGGGGAUAACGUAGCGAAAGUUACGCUAAUACCGCAUAUUCUGUGAGCAGGAAAGAGGGGGAUCGCAAGACCUCUUGCUUUAGGAGCGGCCGAUGUCGGAUUAGCUAGUUGGUGAGGUAAAGGCUCACCAAGGCGACGAUCCGUAGCGGGUCUGAGAGGAUGAUCCGCCACACUGGGACUGAGACACGGCCCAGACUCCUACGGGAGGCAGCAGUGGGGAAUUUUGGACAAUGGGCGCAAGCCUGAUCCAGCCAUGCCGCGUGAGUGAAGAAGGCCUUCGGGUUGUAAAGCUCUUUCGGUGGGGAAGAAAUUGCACAGGAUAAUACCUUGUGUAGAUGACGGUACCCGCAUAAGAAGCACCGGCUAACUACGUG
rnacentral:rRNA from 1 species